rnacentral:lncRNA from 1 species
CUGAAAGUGUGUAUUUGCACGUGUGCGUGCACAUGGGUGUGUGUCUGUGUGAAAGAGAGCAAUGUGUACUAAAAUUAACUUCUAAACCUUGUUCCAGCAGCCUUGAGAGCUGAUAUGUGGUGGGUGCCAUACAAACAGAUCUCAGUGAUACAGAUAUAAUCCUGUCUAGGAGUACCAGCUCUAGAAGCCAAGCCAUGCCUAAAAUCAAACUGAGCCAUAGCAGCAGCAGAGCAAACAUCAAGUUUCUCACAUCAUCCGAACAUCCUUUGGCAGCAACAGUUGGCCCAAGCCUUGGAGCAGCAGCUGGUAAGUCCAGAGGCAGAACUGUGAUGCCUGUGGCAUCAGAUGUACUGGAAACCCUUCUAA